rnacentral:lncRNA from 1 species
GAGCCACAGGAUUAGCACUGAUCCUCUGCUGAACACAGAUCAGUGCAGGUCUGCAGGUCUGCAGAGCCACAGGAUAAGCACUGAUCCUCUGCUGCCUGCUGUGCCUGCUAUGUGUCCGUCCACAGGAGCUGGAGAGCAGGCUGGUGUCCCAGACGGCCACACAGCAGCAGCUGCACACCCAGAUGAAGCAGUGCGAGGAGCGGGCGGCCCAGAAGCAGGAGGAGCUGGCCGCCCUGGAGCUGCAGUACGCCCAGAUCAAGUUCAACCCCGGGCCUGGCUGUGAGAGGUAUGAGCAGAUGCAAGCGGAGCUGUGUGCUGAGCUGGAGCAGGAGCGCCUGCGCUGCCGGGAGUGGGAGGCCAAGCUGCGCAAGGCCAGGGCCGUCCAGCAGGGGGUGGAGCAGGGGGUCAACAACCUCUUCUACCGCACCACCUGCCUGCCCACACUCAAGGACUCGUUGGCAGAGGCUGGGCAGGAUGCUGUGGAGAAGCUGCUGGAGAUUGAAAGCCGGCUGUCACCAUCCCUGCCCACCGUGGAGCCCGAGGAGAGCGAGGAAGGUGGAGGCAGCGACAAGGUGCCUGACUCUCCU